rnacentral:rRNA from 1 species
AAAGAGGAAAGCGUAAUAUACGCCACCUCGCGACGGUGAGCUGAAAGCCGCGUCGCACCUGCUCUUUAACAAUUUAUCAGACAAUCUGUGUGGGCACUCGAAGAUACGGAUUCUUAACGUCCUCGGACGAAAAAUGAAUAUGACGAGUGGCGGACGGGUGAGUAAUGUCUGGGAAACUGCCUGAUGGAGGGGGAUAACUACUGGAAACGGUGGCUAAUACCGCAUAACGUCGCAAGACCAAAGAGGGGGACCUUCGGGCCUCUUGCCAUCAGAUGUGCCCAGAUGGGAUUAGCUUGUUGGUGAGGUAACGGCUCACCAAGGCGACGAUCCCUAGCUGGUCUGAGAGGAUGACCAGCCACACUGGAACUGAGACACGGUCCAGACUCCUACGGGAGGCAGCAGUGGGGAAUAUUGCACAAUGGGCGCAAGCCUGAUGCAGCCAUGCCGCGUGUAUGAAGAAGGCCUUCGGGUUGUAAAGUACUUUCAGCGGGGAGGAAGGUGUUGUGGUUAAUAACCRCAGCAAUUGACGUUACCCGCAGAAGAAGCACCGGCUAACUCCGUGCCAGCAGCCGCGGUAAUACGGAGGGUGCAAGCGUUAAUCGGAAUUACUGGGCGUAAAGCGCACGCAGGCGGUCUGUCAAGUCGGAUGUGAAAUCCCCGGGCUCAACCUGGGAACUGCAUUCGAAACUGGCAGGCUUGAGUCUUGUAGAGGGGGGUAGAAUUCCAGGUGUAGCGGUGAAAUGCGUAGAGAUCUGGAGGAAUACCGGUGGCGAAGGCGGCCCCCUGGACAAAGACUGACGCUCAGGUGCGAAAGCGUGGGGAGCAAACAGGAUUAGAUACCCUGGUAGUCCACGCCGUAAACGAUGUCUACUUGGAGGUUGUGCCCUUGAGGCGUGGCUUCCGGAGCUAACGCGUUAAGUAGACCGCCUGGGGAGUACGGCCGCAAGGUUAAAACUCAAAUGAAUUGACGGGGGCCCGCACAAGCGGUGGAGCAUGUGGUUUAAUUCGAUGCAACGCGAAGAACCUUACCUGGUCUUGACAUCCACAGAAKWMUCCAGAGAUGGAUUUGUGCCUUCGGGAACUGUGAGACAGGUGCUGCAUGGCUGUCGUCAGCUCGUGUUGUGAAAUGUUGGGUUAAGUCCCGCAACGAGCGCAACCCUUAUCCUUUGUUGCCAGCGRUUMGGYCGGGAACUCAAAGGAGACUGCCAGUGAUAAACUGGAGGAAGGUGGGGAUGACGUCAAGUCAUCAUGGCCCUUACGACCAGGGCUACACACGUGCUACAAUGGCGCAUACAAAGAGAAGCGACCUCGCGAGAGCAAGCGGACCUCAUAAAGUGCGUCGUAGUCCGGAUUGGAGUCUGCAACUCGACUCCAUGAAGUCGGAAUCGCUAGUAAUCGUGGAUCAGAAUGCCACGGUGAAUACGUUCCCGGGCCUUGUACACACCGCCCGUCACACCAUGGGAGUGGGUUGCAAAAGAAGUAGGUAGCUUAACCUUCGGGAGGGCGCUUACCACUUUGUGAUUCAUGACUGGGGUGAAGUCGUAACAAGGUAACCGUAGGGGAACCUGCGGUUGGAUCACCUCCUUA